ensembl:lncRNA novel transcript
CACACCUUGUGCUUCCAUAGAAUUGUCGGCCUCUGCAACAGGAAAGAGCAGCUCUGGGGAAGUCGCUGGUGCUGACAACCUUUGCUCACACCCCUACUGGGUCCCCGUCUGCAUCCUCCAACACCCUCAUCCUGCUUCCUUUACAUAGAGUUCAUUCUCAAGGAAUCUUUUGGCCUGAUAGUGAGGCCUCCUGCAAGGAGAAGGAAAGUCAGUGUCUGAAUCUGUUUGGGCGGCUAUAACAAACACCACAGACCAGAAAGGAACCUGCAGAACUCCAGGAACCAAAAUUGCUGCUGUAAAAUUGGAGGUUGACUAGGAAAAUGCCUUUUCCUAUCAAGUCACGUGUGCUGGGGCAUGAGCCACUGCACCCAGCCUUUUAAAAAACUUUUUGGCCAGGUUGUUUUAUAGGCUCAUGCCUAUAAUCCCUGUUCUUUAGGAGGCUGAUGCAGGUAGAUCCUUUGAGCCCAGGAGUUUGAGACCAGCCUGUGCAACAUAGUGAAACCCCGUCUCUACAAAAAUAUACAAAAAUUAGUCAAGCAUGGUGGCAUGCACCUGUGAUCCCAGCUACUGAGGAGGCUGAAGUGGGAGGAGUUCUUGAACCCGGGAGGUCGAAGCUGCAGCAUGCUGAGAUCACGCCACUGCACUCCAGCCUGGGCAACAGAGCAAGACUCUAUCUUGAAAACAAAAACAAAAACAACUUUCAAAUCCAGCUCUUUUGGCAUGGCAAGGCACAGACUGAGAGAU